rnacentral:antisense_RNA from 1 species
AAGGACUGUGCUCCCAAUCCGCUUAUGCUCAAGGAAGAACUGAUGAGGGAAUGGAGGCACAGACUGAUUAGAAAACCAGCUCAAGGUCAUGUUGCUGGGCUCUCUGGUGGAGCCUGUCUCACAGGCCACCUGCAGGCCAACACUCCCAGAAGCAGCUAGCACCAUGGUUGACCUCGUCCAGGUCCAGGGAAGGCCUCCCUCUCCAGGACUCCUUUAGAUUUCCCCAGCAUCCAGACCUCACCUGCCAAAGUGCCGUAGCCCUGGAAGCCACACAGUGAGCACGAGCUCCAUCUUGCACCUUUACCAGCCGAUGAGGGUAAAGACAUUAGCUGGGUUACUCAGGCUGAAAUGCUCAAGACACUCUGUCUCAAGGGAUUUGUGGCUGGUUCAUCCUCAAGUAUAGGGGGAAUAGUGGCCAGGAAGAUCUCAGAGGUGGCUUCUGGAAGAGGAACCUGGGUACUGGCUACCCUGCCUUGUGUCCCAUCAUUGGUCUGUCUUGCCUGCCUUGGAGCACAUUUCUCACCAAGCCAGGCAUGGUGGCGGGAGCCUGUAAUCUCAGCU